rnacentral:tRNA from 1 species
GGCGAUGUAGCUCAGCUGGUUAGAGCGCACGACUCAUAAUCGUGAGGUCGUCGGAUCGUGACCGACCAUCGCUACCA